rnacentral:rRNA from 1 species
UACGGGGGGGGCAAGCGUUGUUCGGAAUUACUGGGCGUAAAGGGCUCGUAGGCGGCUAACUAAGUCGGAUGUGAAAUCCCCAGGCUUAACCUGGGAACUGCAUCCGAUACUGGAUGGCUUGAAUUCGGGAGAGGGAUGCAGAAUUCCAGGUGUAGCGGUGAAAUGCGUAGAUAUCUGGAGGAAUACCGGUGGCGAAGGCGGCAUCCUGGACCGACAUUGACGCUGAGGAGCGAAAGCGAGGGGAGCAAACGGG